UAGGGAAUAUUGCGCAAUGGACGAAAGUCUGACGCAGCAACGCCGUGUGAGCGAUGAAGGUCUUCGGAUCGUAAAGCUCUGUCAGGAGGGACGAACCGUCCCACGUAAACAAACGUGGGAUCUGACGGUACCUCCAGAGGAAGCACCGGCCAACUCCGUGCCAGCAGCCGCGGUAAUACGGAGGGUGCGAGCGUUGUUCGGAUUUACUGGGCGUAAAGCGCGUGCAGGCGGGUCAGCAAGUCCUGUGUGUAAUCUUCCGGCUCAACCGGGAAACUGCAUGGGAAACUACUGAUCUUGAGUGCGAGAGAGGAUGGCGGAAUUCCUGGUGUAGCGGUGAAAUGCGUAGAUAUCAGGAGGAACACCGGUGGCGAAGGCGGCCGUCUGGCUCGACACUGACGCUCAUACGCGAAGGCCGGGGGAGCAAACAGG
rnacentral:rRNA from 1 species